rnacentral:rRNA from 1 species
UACGUAGGGUGCAAGCGUUGUCCGGAAUUAUUGGGCGUAAAGAGCUCGUAGGCGGCCUGUCGCGUCGGAUGUGAAAAUCCAAGGCUCAACCUUGGACCUGCAUUCGAUACGGGCAUCACUGGAGUUCGGCAGGGGAGACUGGAAUUCCUGGUGUAGCGGUGAAAUGCGCAGAUAUCAGGAGGAACACCGGUGGCGAAGGCGGGUCUCUGGGCCGAUACUGACGCUGAGGAGCGAAAGCGUGGGGAGCGAACAGG